UUUGCGUGUUUUGUUUUUUUGUUUUUUUUUUUUUGCACGCUAUCCGCUUCAUUUACUUCAUUUAGAAAUAAACUUAGCUGAAAAUGUGAAUCAAUUAGGAUUCGAACUUGAAACCUCGGAUACCAACCACCAAAUCUUUUGUCAUUUGCUCUAGGAAUGGUCGGUAAAAAACUUCCUUUUCUCACUUGCAGACAACAUUAUUAUUGA
rnacentral:lncRNA from 1 species